rnacentral:rRNA from 8 species
CUGCGGAAGGAUCAUUAC